AGGACUGGCUUGUUCAGCACCUAUGACUAAAGAGGCCAAGCACAGGGAAAAGGAUACAUGCAGGUGGAGUACAAGUUUAAUGUGUGAAAGCCUCAUUACAAUGUCCAGUGAUGUGAAGUUCCCACCUUUCUGAACACCUCAGUUCAUAUUCAGGGAUAGCAGGAGCUCUAGCAAUAUCUGUCUUUAUAAAGCCUGCAAUGAGAGAGCAAGAGACUGAGCAGGAGGCUGUGGGGAGAAGGGUAAAAUAUACUAGUGACCAUGCUUCCUGAGGGGAGCGUCUGAUGUGGCUAGAAGAGAGAGAAUACUGCACUGGUUGUAAAGGUCCUGUCCUGCUUCCCUGUUCACACCAGUUCUCAUCAGAAGUCACUGUGAAGAAUGAAAACAGUCUCUGGAUAAUCUUUAGGUGCUGCAAAUGCAGGUUUUUUUCAGUUGACAGUGUUGUUAAUAUCAUGCUGAGCUACGGAUGUGAGGAAGACUGGUGCAGUUCCAGUCUCUACUAACAGAAGAGAAAUCUUAUGGCAGUAUUGGGAGUUCGAAAACUAAUGCCUGCUUAAUAAAACUAAAUGUAAAGAAGUAAAAUUACACCAAAAACCUUGGGAAAUUUCCAAUCUCGUGACAUAGCACUGUGGAAUAACCUCCCCGGGUAAGAGCUGAGAGCCCAGUUAUUUGGCAGUCUUUAAAGUUAGACUAGAUGGAACAUCAGAAAAAAUAGUGUAAGAAAUACCCAGCUCAGGUGGGAGGAUGGAGUAAAUGAUUAAAUACCAUAGGUCUUUCCGGCUCUUAAUCGCUGUAAUUCUUUGAUACAUCAGAUUGUCCCAGCAGGAAUCACUGGAAAGAAAGAUCCAGGAGUGCUGUCUAUUAAAAAGCUCAUAGAUACUUCUGUUCCAGCAGGAGACACUGUAAGGAACAGUGGAGGAGUGUUGUACAUCGGGGAGUUCAAAGCUACCCUCCAGCCCCACUCUUGCUGGGAAGCCUGCUCUUUAGGCAGCAGUGCAGGAAUGGUGGCUCUGGGGAGCUCACAGACCGUCCUGCACCAGGCUCUUGGCAGGAGGCACUGGGGGGACUGGGCAGAGAUUGCUCUUUCAGGAGGUAGGAAGCAUGUA